AGAGAUGAGACUUUAAAGAACACGGAAUCAUUUCAAGGUAGGACACAAAAAGGGAUGAGACUGUAAAGAACACGGAAUCAUUUCAAGGUAGGGAAUAGAAAGGGAAGCGAAAUCGAAGCUGUAAAAUGUUUUUUUUUUUUUUCAAGCAAAACAAAACAGAAACCAGAAAGGAGAAGAAAAACUGUUUGGAGGCUGGCUAGAAGGCACACCCAGGACCAGGCUGGUUGAGGUCUCAUUAUGGCCUCCGUCCUGCGGUAGGGCCUGAUGUAAACAUCUCACGGCUACUGUGGGUGUUAUGUCAAAACACUGGUGACAGCGCAUCGGGAGCAACAGAUUGAUAAACUCUGCCAACACUCUUCCCUCCUCUCACAUUCUCUUCAAACAAAUGAAACAAGUCUGGGGAGAGGAUGCUGGCAGGAGAGGCGUGGGGUUGGAAGUGAAGGACUGUUUGGCCUGCUGAGGAAGGGUGAUUUUUAUAAAGAGAUCUUUAAGGAAAUGUUAGGAGUGGCUACCAAUAAUAUCCUUUAGCACAUGCAGGAAGGACAUUCAAGAACCCUCCAAUCAGUCAGUGAAGAGCAUGUCAGAUUAUCACCGUGUUUUGUUCCUGCAGAAAGGAAGACAGCUAACUUGAUACACGACUUUUUUGCCUUUGGAUCACGGAUGACAAAAUCACUUGUGACAAAUUCUGCUGGGUGUACUGUCAUUGAACUACACUGAGACGUGUCAGAAUGACCAGCCCUGAGGCCUUCACUGUAGCAGAAACAUGGCUGAGGAAUGCCCUGCUGUGCUCAGAGAGCCCAAGAGAAGUCCUAUUUCUCGGCUCUUAGCCUGGCUUUAAUCUCCUGGAGCUUUUACUAUUGCAAACAUUUAUCCCCACUGUCUUGCUCUUGAGUACUUCGUCUGAACGACCUCUGAUCUACGGCAAUGGCCGUGUUCUUAGCCUCGUAAACAGCAAUGAACCAACCCCAUGCUACUGUAGCUUUCUGGUUUUACUGUAGUUAUUAAAAAGCAAAUAGAAAAGAUUUAAACAAUUUAAAGAUGAUCCUUUUGCCAUGAACAAGUAUCACGGUGCUAGCAAAUGGGUUAAUUGAGCCUCAGCAUUGUGCCUGGCACACGGGAAGCAGACUGGAAAAGUCACUAGUCAUCUGGUGCACUGAGAGCUACAUAGGAGCAGAGAGAUUAUGAUGUUGUACUAAUCAUUGUGACCUUUCUGGCCAGAGAGCCCACCUGGGCUCAGCUUGCUACCAAGUGAGGUGACUGAGUCCGACAGAAUGGUUGAUCCAAAGGUGGCCUUAUACUUAUCAGGUGCCAAAUUGCCAUGGGUCCCUGACCUCAGAUGUGCUGAAGACAGGCCCUAGUGACCAUCAGAUGACCUCAAACCACCUCUUUAACACCAAUCACUGUGCCGCACCAUCGGUGUCCGUCUACUCACAGUGACAGAUAUAAGUGGCGACAGAUCUGAUGGGGACCUCGAUAAAGUCGGCUUGGCAUUAUCAGUGCCUGACAAAGUGAUGUUCCUGGUCAGUUUCAAGGCAGACAGGGAUGCUGACAUGUGAAAGAGGCAUCUUCUGGUCUAAUGAAAAACAAAACAGACCAAUGGUGGUCUUCUCCACUUCCCACAGGUGGGCGAAAGCCCUGGCUUGGAGUUACCAGCACUAUUUUAAAUUACUCUUUUUUUUUCCCCAUUGCACAUUCCCUUUGCACUUCUUCUGAAACACGUGGUUUGCUUCCUGCUGCUAUUGAAGGAUGGCCUUGUCUAUCAAAGAGACAGGUCAAAUUUAUGGAAAAUACCAGAACACAGUGGAGAGAACACGCCAGCAAACCACCAAGAGCUGUAAGCCACCGAAGAUUACACAGGACUGGAGUCUGAACACUUUGUGGCUGAAGAAGAACUGGAUCCAGUAGACACAGGCUGGUGCAACCCCACUGACCUAAGUCACUGAGGCUGUGCGCUAUUUCCGGUCUUAUUUUUUUGGAAUAAGUUGUCAGACCUAUUCAAAGACACAGGCGUGCUUCUUGGGAGAACAUUUGCCAAACGUCAUGGAUUGUCUCGAGAGACGGCUCCUGGUCAGUCCACACAGGAUCUCACUGUGUUUGACACCUCUUUGGAGGCUAUGCUUUUUGGCAAUGGAGCCGCCCCAGAGUCGCCUAAAGGAUACUCUAGAAGAUCUAGGCAACUUCCACCAAAAAAGCUCAGCAUGUGCGAUGUGCCAGCCACAGGGCUGAGUGUAUCACACGCAUCAUCCCUCUUCUCCCACCCCCACUCCCUGUGUCAAUGCUGACUCCAUUGCACCAAUGAGGAGACCCAGUCUCAGAGAGGUCUAGAACCCUACGGCUGGGAGAUGACAGCGGGAGGCAGAGCCCGACCUUUAGCAUAACAUCCUUAAGCUGCAGGCCGUAUUUCAUCCUAACGCCUUGCACGACUGGCUCUUGUAAUACCGCAACACGGGCUUCUUAAAACAUACCAGCUUUUGACCAAAAUUACUCAUGUGAAGGUCUAAGUGGCCACCAUUUUAAUUUUUGGGAGGGGAGGGGAGGGAGAGGGAAGAGAGGGUGGGGGACACAAGGCUGGAAGUAGACACAUGAGCUGCUUUCAGCCACCUGAUCCCAGUGACCCUGGAUGCCACUCACUGGCAUCUUUUUCUGGCACAUCCUCCAGGACUGUAUCCUAAAGAGGUCCUUGAACCCUAGGGCCUGAGUUGGAAACUGGCGGUGAUAAAAUCCCUGCCCCGUAGAAAUGCUGUGGUAAUUAAAUGAGAUAACACAUGCAUAGAACACACGGGAGUCGGCCACAUCUGCUAGGCAGGUGGCUAAUUACUGUCAUCUAUAAAGAAAAUGAAAACGGAACUGUAAAGCCAGAGGUUUUCUAGCAGCCAGGACGGACGAUUUAGUUUGAGACCAUCUCUACCCACUCUGUUAUCUGUUUGCCCAAGGACUUUCCCACACCCCCAAAGGCAGACCGUGAAGAAGGCUGGGACAAGGGAACAUCAAGACCUCAGACAGAGGCCCAUUCAGCUUCACAGUCUUGGUGCUUAGACACAGAAGGCCUUUCAGGGACUCCAUGCCUGUGACACACGCUAGAUCUGAGCACUAGUAGGUAGUCUGCGGAAGGACAUCUGUAGGAACGAAGAACUUCUGCUCGACAGACAGUAAAACUUCCCAGGCACUGGCCAGGGGAGUUGGGGGAAGGGUGGUGGUGAGUGACAUCUCUACCCCCAAACUUUGAGGCUGUAGUAAGGCUUGCCUUUCCGAUGGUACCUUUUUUUUUUCUUGGAGCCAAAGCUGAUGAGCCAGACAAGUUGAUUUUGAGGCGUGUCCUCUCUAAGUAGACCUCAGUCACUCCUGCUCUAUCUCUGUCCUUUUCCAUAUGACUUUCCCAGACCUCUUCGUCAUGUUCAGGGCCCAGCUUUUACCUUUUCCCAUGGCCCCUCCUCUAAAUUGCUGAACUGGUCAUCAGCCACCCUGACCCAUUUUGGUCAGCCUGGUGCUGGGCGCUGGCCGUGGAAACCCAAUGCCGUCCUGGGGUGCAAGAUAGUAAUGAAGUGGAAACAGGGACACGGCCUGAGGAGGGCUUGAGUGCUUGCUUGGUCCUAACCCAGAACAUUCAUGAGCAAAUGGGGCUCUUCUGCCAGAAAUAAAACAUUCCCGCACAGUGAGAAAGCCACAGAGGGUCGUGACUGUGAGGGCCAAGCAUACAAUAAAUGGAUUCACUAGCU